UUCCAGCUCUGUGGUGGCAGUGGCCGUUAUGUGACCACACUUGCACAAGGCGCCUUUGUUGGGCAAAAGCCCAGAGCCUCUGACUUCUCCUCAGAAACAUUAGCCUCUGACGUUCUCUUGCUCCCUGGCUCUGGGGCUGUGAUGUCACCAAGCACUUAUUAACUUCUCAAGAAGCCAGUUGAGAGCUGUGGCACUGGGCAAGCAAGAAGCCAGGGCCUGGGAUAUUGGUGAAGGGGGAACAGGCCCACAGAGACGCUGGCAAGAGCUGCUGCAGGGAGCGCAGUGGAGGGGGAAAAGCUGCUUCCUAACAGCUCGGUCAGAACCCUGCCUGCAGUGGAAUGGGAAGAAGCGAGGCUCUUCGGGGCCAGCCUCCAGCGCUUGGACACCUUGGAUCAGUUGUCAACCUCAGGGGCCCAGUAAGAGGCCCCUGGCACCGACAUUCCCAUGAUUAUUAAACAACUGAGCAUAAAGCCAGCUCUUCGCCCAGCCCAGGGCCGGGGGCAUCACGAAUCAGCAGCAGUCCUGAGAAAUCCCUACCUACCUGGGUCCACAGCAGGUGGGAGGAGCCUGCAGAGGUCAGGGUUGGGGCAGUCCACCCCUCAAGAAUCUCUGCGGAAUUUGGCUGAUGCCUCUGGAAGUGCUUUGAAGGACUUGUUAAGGCUCCAUCCCCAGAACUGGGUGCUCCCCUGCCACCCUUCCCAGAGGUGCCCGCAGGCCUGAAGCUCGCAUUGAGUCCCAGCCUUUGGCCUUCAUGAACUGAGCCAGGAAGCAUCCAGCACACACUGGGACAGCAUUGUCCGUGACGGCGGCGCGUCCCCACCCACAGCCAGACACAGCUGGCCUCAUCCACUGCUACACGCUGUGCAACCUUGGGCAAGUCACUCAACCUUAGAAGACUCGGUGGAAGGGGAGCAAUAGUAUCUACUCCAAAGAGCUGUUGGGAGUCUUAAAUCAGAUGGCAUGGGUUCCUACCCCAGGGCCUGACCUAUAGGAUUUGAUACAUGGGCACUCUCAUCCCUAGCCCUUUUUCUCUUCCAUUCUUUUCCAAAGAAAAAAACCCAAAACCAUGAUUCAUCCUAAACCUCGUCUCGGCCAGACAAGUAGAGCCAAAGAGAGGCAAAGCUGAUAAAGUGUUGGGCCGGGUGGGGGAGGGGGGGUGGACAGAGAUUCAGAGGUUCGAAUAGGCGCUUUCUGCCUUUAGGAGUCCCUGGUCGAGGAGGCUUUGCAGGACACUGGGAGCUAGAGCUGAGGUGCCAGCCCCCACUAUGGGGGGAGAGCCUCUUGUCAUCUCGUGCAGUUUGUGCUUGAGGUCCAGACAGUUCCAAAGCCUGUUCCUCAAACCCCGCACUCCAUCAGACCCCAGCAAGGGGCCAGCGAGAACAAACAGAAGCACAGGAACCAGGAGAGAGGCUACUCCAUCGCUGUCAUGGAGACAUGACAUGCAACAUCAUCCUGGGCUUCACUGCGCCUCUAUUUUUUCACCCAGAAAAUAGAGUCAGACUGAUGGUGUCCUCUUGGCCUCUUGCAUUUCCUCCUCUAGCUCCUCGUCGCCCCUCCCUCUCCUUCCCCUCAGGCCUCAGCCAGACAAACCAUGCUUAGCCAAAGGGAGGAACAAGGCUGUAGGCUGUUCUCUAAGGUCCUUUCGGUGGCUCCACCUUCUGAGGGCCCCGUAUUCCACUUUUCUGAGCCAGCACUGGGGUUGGAUAGGGGGACCACAGCCCUUGACUUCCCUGGAGGACUCUGAUGCCAUUCACACCCUUGUCCCUCAUGGGCUUCUGUCCCUCUGGGACUCUUGGACGAUCUUACGCCACCUCUCAAAGUUCCUGGGUUAAAAA